rnacentral:rRNA from 1 species
UACGUAGGGACCAAGCGUUGUUCGGAUUUACUGGGCGUAAAGGGCGCGUAGGCGGCGUGGUAAGUCAGUUGUGAAAUCUCCGAGCUUAACUCGGAACGGCCAACUGAUACUGCUGUGCUAGAGUGCAGAAGGGGCAAUCAGAAUUCUUGGUGUAGCGGUGAAAUGCGUAGAUAUCAAGAGGAAUACCUGAGGUGAAGACGGGUUGCUAGGCUGACACUGACGCUGAGGCGCGAAAGCCGGGGGAGCAAACGGG